ACUUUGUAUUAUUGCUGUUUCUUUAAAGUUUUCUUUUCUCUCAGAUCAUUUUCUCUAGAUAAGGAAGACUAGGAGAAAGGAGACAUCAAACAGAUGGGCACCGGCGCCUCGGGUCUGAUCUGAACAAUCAGGCUGCGUCCUGCGCAGCCGUGGGAAAUGCUGUUAUUGAGGUGCUGCCACUGCUGCAGGAACAUGGACCCCACUUUGUAAAGUGGCAUUGUAGGUUCAGGUGUACUUACUAAUGAAGAACAGGAGGGGGAGGAGCGCUCACACCUUGUACAGCUCAAAAGGUUUUCACCUCUGUUGAAAACUAUAGUCAUGGCAGUAUAACCAUUUGUGUCCUGAGAACUUCCUGAUAACAGAACUCCAUCUCCUCAGACGUGGUAUGAAGUGCAUAUGCAUGUUUUGUGUGAGAAAAAACUACUAGGAGAAGCUUUGGCUCCACGUAAGUGGUAGAGUGUAUAGUCAGCAUUGAUUAAUGGUGACUAACAGGAGAACUGUUACUGGUGAUAUUGAAUAGAACGUAGAGGAACUUUGGUGUAGCCAUCUAGGAGAUUUUGCUGGUUUGAAGGUAGCAAAACAGUUAAGGCAUCUUGUCUCAGUUUGAGAGUCUCCCACACCCUCCACGCGUAUCACGAGGCUCAUUACGUUUUGCCAUUAACAUUAA
rnacentral:lncRNA from 1 species